GAUGAACGCUGGCGGCGUGCCUAAUACAUGCAAGUCGAGCGAACGGACGAGAAGCUUGCUUCUCUGAUGUUAGCGGCGGACGGGUGAGUAACACGUGGAUAACCUACCUAUAAGACUGGGAUAACUUCGGGAAACCGGAGCUAAUACCGGAUAAUAUUUUGAACCGCAUGGUUCAAAAGUGAAAGACGGUCUUGCUGUCACUUAUAGAUGGAUCAGCGCUGCAUUAGCUAGUUGGUAAGGUAACGGCCUACCAAGGCAACGAUGCAUAGCCGACCUGAGAGGGUGAUCAGUCACACUGGAACUGAGACACGGUCCAGACUCCUACGGGAGGCAGCAGUAGGGAAUCUUCCACAAUGGGCGAAAGCCUGACGCAGCAACGCCGCGUGUGUGAUGAAGGUCUUCGGAUCGUAAAACUCUGUUAGUUGGGAAGAACAUAUGUGUAAGUAUCUGUGCACAUCUUGACGUUACCUACACAGAAAGCCACGGCUAACUACGUG
rnacentral:rRNA from 1 species